GGAAUAUUGCACAAUGGGCGAAAGCCUGAUGCAGCAACGCCGCGUGAGGGAUGACGGCCUUCGGGUUGUAAACCUCUUUUAGUAGGGAAGAAGCGAAAGUGACGGUACCUGCAGAAGAAGCGCCGGCUAACUACGUGCCAGCAGCCGCGGUAAUACGUAGGGCGCAAGCGUUAUCCGGAAUUAUUGGGCGUAAAGAGCUCGUAGGCGGUUUGUCGCGUCUGCCGUGAAAGUCCGGGGCUCAACUCCGGAUCUGCGGUGGGUACGGGCAGACUAGAGUGAUGUAGGGGAGACUGGAAUUCCUGGUGUAGCGGUGAAAUGCGUAGAUAUCUGGAGGAAUACCGGUGGCGAAGGCGGCAUCCUGGACCGACAUUGACGCUGAGGAGCGAAAGCUAGGGGAGCAAAC
rnacentral:rRNA from 1 species